GCGUAAUUGGUUUAGUGGUAAAAUUCUCCGUUGCCAUCAGCAAGGUUCGGGGAGCCCUGGGUUCGAUUCCCAGAUUACGCA
rfam:Fusarium graminearum chromosome 3, complete genome